rnacentral:sRNA from 1 species
CCCCGCGUACCGCCACCUCUUCUGCCCGGACCUGCUGCGGGACAAAGUGGCCUUCAUCACAGGAGGCGGCUCUGGGAUUGGGUUCCGGAUUGCUGAGAUUUUCAUGCGGCACGGCUGCCAUACGGUGAUUGCCAGUAGGAGCCUGCCGCGAGUGCUGACGGUGAGAGGGCCUCUCCCAUGGUCCCCUGUGUGGGUGGCUGUGGAGGGGCUGGGGCUGGGCCUGGGCCAGGAGGGUCCAGAAGCUAAGGGGAUGUUGGCACCAAAACUUUUUUUUUCUGAGACAGGAGUCUCGCUCUGUCACCCAGGCUGAAGUGUGGUGGUGCGAUCUCGGCUCACUGCAGCCUCCGCCUCCCAGGAUCAAGUGAUUCUCCUGCCUCAGCUCCGGAGUAGCUGGGACUACAGGCGCCCGCCACCAUGCCUGGCUAAUUUUUGCAUUUUUUUGGUAGAGAUGGGGUUACACCAUGUUGACCAGGCUGGUCUCGAAUUCCUGACCUCAGGUGAUCCGCCCACCUCAGCCUCCCAAAGUGCCAGGAUUACAGGUGUGAACCACUGUGCCCGGCCGGCACCAAAACUUGCACCUAUCCUAAAUAUGGAGCUUCAGUGUAAGUGGCCUCCCAGAGACAUCUUUGACUUUUUAAAAAAUCUAGUUGUUGGGUCCUGGGAGGGACCUUCCUGUUUGGGGGUAAUGUGGCCCCAAGAAAGAUCUCUGGGCUCACCUGGGUUAUUUAGGUGGUCCGUGCGUCCCACCUACUGGAGCCCUCGACCUGGGAGGAGAGUCUCACCUGUGCCACCUCUGGUCUGCAGCAGGGGCAGGACAUGGG